UACGGAGGGAGCUAGCGUUGUUCGGAAUUACUGGGCGUAAAGCGCACGUAGGCGGCUUUGUAAGUUAGAGGUGAAAGCCCGGGGCUCAACCCCGGAAUUGCCUUUAAGACUGCAUCGCUUGAAUCCGGGAGAGGUGAGUGGAAUUCCGGGUGUAGUGGUGAAAUGCGUAGAUAUCCGGAGGAACACCAGUGGCGAAGGCGACUUUCUGGCCUGUUCUUGACGCUGAGGCGCGAAAGCUAGGGGAGCAAACGGG
rnacentral:rRNA from 1 species